GCCAGUGUGGUGUGGUGGUUUGAGUGUCAAACCACAACUCUGGAGACCAGGGUUUGAUUCCCAGCUUGGCCA